UUAUUUGAGAGUUUGAUCCUGGCUCAGGAUGAACGCUGGCGGCGUGUCUAACACAUGCAAGUUGAGCGAUUUACUUCGGUAAAGAGCGGCGGACGGGUGAGUAACGCGUGGGUAACCUACCC
rnacentral:rRNA from 1 species